rnacentral:snRNA from 1 species
AGUUCCAGAGUCUACACUC